ACGCCCUCUCUCUUUCUCUCUAGUGUUUCUCUCUACUCUCUCCACACAGAAUAACAUAAGCUUAGCUUGUUAUUUAUACACGAAUUCAAAACAAGAUAAUUCAACCUUCAAGUGUGAAGGCGGCUGUGGACGGUGGUGUGAAGGCGGCAUGCAGCUGGUGGCUGGCGGCUGGUCGGUGGCAGCUGGUGGUUGCCUUCCUUGACCAUCUAGAUUGAGUUUAAUAUUCAACAAAUCUCCCCUUUAAACUCAAUCGAGGGAUGUCAUGUCAAGCAUGAACUUUAAUCGGAUAAAUACUUCUCCUUUUAAUGGCUUUGUGAAGAUGUCAGCAACUUGAUCAUUUGUGUUGCAAGAUAUCAGUUGGACUUCUUCAUUCUUCAC
rnacentral:lncRNA from 1 species